CACAAGCCUGAUGCACUGCAGGCACCACAAAUGGCUAGUUACGUAUCCUGAAUGUGUGCUCUGCAAUGAAGUGGUUCUUUGCAUCACCCUUUCCAAGAGGACAAACACAUCCCCUUCUACACCAACACUCUGAGUUAUUCCUGUCCCCCACACCUGGGAGGGCAAUGAGAAGGGAAGGGCAGGUAAAAUGUGAAUGUGUCUGUCAAGUACUCAAAGCACAACUUUCACUGCUGAAUUUAACACGUGUACCACAGAGGACAGUACCACCAAGACAGAGGCCCAACUGCUUCUCCUCACAACUUCCACAAUUCCAACACAACUAACAUCUUCACAG